CUUAAGCAUCUUGGCUGCAUCGAACAAUCGUUUGGGUGGAAUUUGGUGGUUAACUAGGCAUGUCGUCUGUAUGUUGCUGAGUUGGGCAGAUCAAGAAUAUUUCUUUUUUGAAGGCUAUUUUUUUCUUUUUUCCUUGAAAAUCAGCAACAAGCGGGCAACCUCUGGCGGUGGUGGCAGCUGGUGACCUCCAUUGGCGACGGGAAUGAACUACGAGAGAGAUCAAUAAAUAUUCAAUUAUCCAAAAAAGAGAGCCAUCCCUCUGUUAAAUCAAAUGGUUAUCUCUUCUUUUCAAUAAAAUGUAGGCCAUUUUCAAGCCUCCAAAAUCAAUGCGUGAAGGAAUACCCAUUUGUUUCCCACAGUUUGGAAACUGUGGGUCACUAGAACAACAUGGAUUUGCAAGGAACAAGAUUUGGGCAAUUGAUGAUAAUCCUCAACCUCUGCUCCCAAAUGAUCCCAAUGUGAAAUCCUUCAUUGACCUACUACUUAAAACCAUCGGAAGAAGACCUAAAGUGCUGGCCCAAUAGGAUAAAGCCUGAUAUCCAGUGCAACAUGCAAGUUCUCCAAUGAUGUGAUGUAAACAAGAUGAAGAAGCCAAAAGAUAUAGUUGGGACAAACAAUUUUUUUGAUUGGUUUAGUUGGAUGUUGGCGGGAGAGGAUUUUUUAUUAUAGUGCUAAUAGUUUUGACAUUUUAGGGUAAUGCUGAUUGCUUGAUAUUUAAUUGUAGAAUGUUGCCUUAUUUCAAGCUUAUGGGGUUUUCAUAUGAUUUUUUUGUUCACUUUUAAUCUAAAGUCAAAUGUGCAUUGUAUACAUUGUUCACAUUUAUGCAACUUCAAAUCAGUACACAGAGGUAUGCACUAAUUUAAAA